UCCCACCUCUGGGACAGACUCCAACUUUGGGGUGUGACACUGUGGAGUGUCCCCAGCUUUGGGGUGUGACACUGUGGGGGUUUGCCCCAACUUUGGGGUGUGACACUGUGGGGGUGUCCCCACUUUGGGGUGUGACACGGUGACGCGGUGCCCCCACUUCCCCUGGGAAGUCCUCAAGCUGCUCACGGUGUCCCCAACUUCGACGCAAUGCCCCCAGGGGGGUCCUUUUGUCCCUUUUGCGUGAAGGUGACACCCAAUGACAACGCCGCCGCGGUCACGGCUGUUCCACACUGAUGUCACCCGUGGUCCCCUCUGCUGGUGGCACAGAGUUCACCUCCCGUCCUUGGGACAGGAGGAUGGUGACAGCGCCACAGGGCUCCGGUGUCACCGGGUCCGGCUGCAGGCAGGCCUGGAGGGGUGACAAAGGACAGCGGGAGGCUCAGUGACAGCACCCCUUGGACACCCAGGACACAUCUGGGACAUCUUCAGACCCUUCCAGAAGACAACAGAACCCACCUAAGGACCGCCCAGACCCUCCAAGUCCUCUCUGGGACAUCCCCAGACCCUUCUGGAUGGCUGCAGGACCCCCCCCAGACCCACAUGAGCAUUCCUGGACAUCCCAAGACACUCCUGGGACAACUUCAGACCCCCCCAGACCCACAUGAGCACCCUUUGGACACCCCAAGACACUCCUGGGACAUCUUCAGACCCUUCCAUGAAGACAACAGAACCCACCUAAGGACCGCCCAGACCCUCCAAGUCCUCUCUGAAACAUCCCCAGACCCUUCGGGAUGACUGCAAGGAUGCCCUGGGCACACCUGGAGACCCCCUGGACCCUACACGAUCCUUCUUGGUACAUCUCCAGACCCUUCUGGAUGAAUCUGCGGACCCCCAUGGAUCAACAGGAGGACUCUCUGGACCCUACAAGGCCUUUCUGGGACACCCCCAGACCCUUCUGGAUGGCUCCAGGACCCCCCAGACCCACAUGAGCACCCCCUGGGCACCCCAAGACACUUCUGGGACAUCUUCAGACCCUUCCAGAAGACAACAGGACACUCUGAGCCCACCUAAGGACAACCCGGACCUUCCCAGUCCUCUCUGGGACAUCCCCAGACCCUUCUGGAUGGCUCCAGGACCCCCCAGACCCACAUGAGCACCCCUUGGACAUCCCAAGACACUCCUCCAGACAUCUUCAGACCUUUCCAGCAGACAACAGGACCCUCUGAACCCACCUAAGGACUGCCCAGACCCUCCCAGUCCUCUCUGGAAACAUCCCCAGACCCUUCGGGAUGACUCCAAAGAUUCCCUGGGCACACCUGGAGACCCCCUGGACCCUGCAGGAUCCUUCUUGGAUAUCUCCAGACCCUUCUGGAUGAAUCCACAAAUGAAUCCAUGGAUCAACAGAAGGACCCUCUGGAACCUCCAAGGCCUUUCUGGAACAGCCCCAGACCUUCUGGAUGGCUCCAGGACCCCACAGACCCACAUGAGCACCCCCUGGACACCCCAAGACACUCCUGGGACAUCUUCAGACCCUUCCAGAAGACAACAAGAUCCUCUGAACCCACCUAAAGACCCCCAGACCCUCCCAGUCCUUUCUGGGCCAUCCCCAGACCCUUCUGGAUGACCACUCAGACCCACACGAGGGCUCCCUGGACCCUCGCAGACUCUACUGGGACAUCUCCAGAUCAGCCCAGAGACUCCUCAGAGCUCCUGGGCCCAUCGUGGGAGCUGCCAGACCCUUCCAGGGGCCCACAGGACCUACCUGGGGACUCCCUGGAUCCUCCUUGGACAUCUCCAGACUCUUCUGCAUGAGUCCAGAACCCCCUGGAUGCCCCAGACCUCUCUAGGACGUCUCCAGAUCCCUCGGCACGAUUCCAAGGGGGGACAAGGGGAGCUGAAGAGGGGGAGAAAGGGGUUAGUGGGGCUUCUGUGGGGUGGAAAGGGAGUCUGGGGGUGGAGAGGGGGUUGUGUGGAAUCUGGG
rnacentral:lncRNA from 1 species